UACGUAGGGUGCAAGCGUUGUCCGGAAUUAUUGGGCGUAAAGAGCUCGUAGGCGGUUUGUCGCGUCGGCUGUGAAAACCUGGGGCUCAACCCCGGGCCUGCAGCCGAUACGGGCAAACUAGAAUUCGGUAGGGGAGACUGGAAUUCCUGGUGUAGCGGUGGAAUGCGCAGAUAUCAGGAGGAACACCGGUGGCGAAGGCGGGUCUCUGGGCCGAUAUUGACGCUGAGGAGCGAAAGCGUGGGGAGCAAACAGG
rnacentral:rRNA from 1 species